rnacentral:rRNA from 1 species
UACGGGGGGGGCAAGCGUUGUUCGGAAUUACUGGGCGUAAAGGGCUCGUAGGUGGCCAACUAAGUCAGACGUGAAAUCCCUAGGCUCAACCUAGGAACUGCGUCUGAUACUGGAUGGCUUGAAUCCGGGAGAGGGAUGCAGAAUUCCAGGUGUAGCGGUGAAAUGCGUAGAUAUCUGGAGGAAUACCGGUGGCGAAGGCGGCAUCCUGGACCGGCAUUGACGCUGAGGAGCGAAAGCCAGGGGAGCAAACGGG